AAAACACCUGCUUUAGGGACAGGAGCUACUCACCGUAAAAGUCACUUGGAGGCCUGACUGCAUGGGGUGCAGCGUCCUUGUGAAGAGUCCUCAGAUGGCUCUAGAGCUGGCAGUGCUGCUUUUCAGUAUUCAGCUCUGACAACUUCCCAACCCCCUCACAUCUACCACGGCCCCCACAGAGAAGAGAAAAGAAAAAAGCCCACAGACGCCCAGCUGAGGAUUCCUCUGGGCGAGGGGAGGCAUCAGAACAUGCUGAGAGCCAGAAGACGUCCCAGAUUGGCAAGAGAGAAAUGGAAAUGACUUCAGUUUGGCCCCUGGCCCGAUGGGAGUUGCUGCCCAGAGGUGCCUAUGGACCAGAAGGCAAAACCAACUGGGCCUGGCUCCUGGAAAGCGAGAGAACCAGGGGACAACAACAACAAGCUUUUCUCCUCUUGGUUGUGACAAGACUCUCUUUCUGACCAGUUUCUUCUAACCGAGGACUGCUUUGAUUCUGAC
rnacentral:lncRNA from 1 species